UACGGAGGGUGCGAGCGUUUGUCCGGAAUCACUGGGCGUAAAGGGCGCGUAGGCGGCGUCGUGAGUCAACGGUGAAAGCUCAGGGCUCAACCCUGAGUCGGCCGUCGGAUACUGCGAGGCUUGAGCACUGUAGAGGCAGGUGGAAUUCCGGGGUGUAGCGGUGGAAUGCGUAGAGAUCCCGGAAGAACACCCGGUGGCGAAGGCGGCCUGCUGGGCAGUAGCUGGACGCUGAGGCGCGACAGCGUGGGGAGCAAACAGGGAUUAGAUACCCCCGUGAUAGUCC
rnacentral:rRNA from 1 species